UUAAAUUGAAGAGUUUGAUCAUGGCUCAGAUUGAACGCUGGCGGCAGGCCUAACACAUGCAAGUCGAACGGUAACAGGAAGCAGCUUGCUGCUUUGCUGACGAGUGGCGGACGGGUGAGUAAUGUCUGGGAAACUGCCUGAUGGAGGGGGAUAACUACUGGAAACGGUGGCUAAUACCGCAUAACGUCGCAAGACCAAAGAGGGGGACCUUCGGGCCUCUUGCCAUCAGAUGUGCCCAGAUGGGAUUAGCUAGUUGGUGAGGUAACGGCUCACCAAGGCGACGAUCCCUAGCUGGUCUGAGAGGAUGACCAGCCACACUGGAACUGAGACACGGUCCAGACUCCUACGGGAGGCAGCAGUGGGGAAUAUUGCACAAUGGGCGCAAGCCUGAUGCAGCCAUGCCGCGUGUAUGAAGAAGGCCUUCGGGUUGUAAAGUACUUUCAGCGGGGAGGAAGGUGUUGUGGUUAAUAACCACAGCAAUUGACGUUACCCGCAGAAGAAGCACCGGCUAACUCCGUGCCAGCAGCCGCGGUAAUACGGAGGGUGCAAGCGUUAAUCGGAAUUACUGGGCGUAAAGCGCACGCAGGCGGUCUGUCAAGUCGGAUGUGAAAUCCC
rnacentral:rRNA from 1 species